rnacentral:rRNA from 1 species
UACGUAGGAGGCGAGCGUUGUCCGGAAUCACUGGGCGUAAAGCGCGUGUAGGCGGGGGGGCAAGUCUGCUGUGAAAGCGCCUGGCUUAACCGGGCGAGGUCGGCGGAAACUGCUUCCCUGGAGGGCGGUAGAGGGGGGUGGAAUUCCCGGUGUAGUGGUGAAAUGCGUAGAGAUCGGGAGGAACACCCGUGGCUAAGGCGGCCAUCUGGAUCAACACUGACGCUGAGGCACGAAAGCGUGGGGAGCAAACAGG